rnacentral:sRNA from 1 species
GGCAUUAUUUAUGGGAAGAGCCAGCAAAAAAGAAAAGCAACCAUCUUCUGAAUAAGAAGAACAACAUGAUAGCGAAGAAGAGUAUGAUGAAGAGGACUAGGAUGGUAUCCUAGCUGCUCAUCCAGAGGAUGAUUUCGAUGAAGCCUAGCGCAAUGCAGCCCUACUUGAAUAGAUUAAAGCAGUAGCCGCACAAGUAGAUUAAGGAGAAGAAUUGACCUGGAACGCUAUCUACGCCCUUAAGAAGGAAGAAGGUGAGUUAAGCGCCUCAAUGGAAAAAUAAAUCCAACUCAUAAAGGAUAAAUAUGAGUUGUUGAAACAGCCCAUCUUUGAGCAGAUUUCUAAGGCUGCUCUUGGAAUCAAAAUAGAUAGUAAGCACUAUCGACCUGAAGGAUUACCUUGCCGUGGAAAUCCAGAUAAGACCCCACCCAAAGCUAUUCCUGACUUUUGGGGUGUUGUAUUCGAAAAGGAAGGAUUAAUUAGUAGUGAAGUUGAUGUUGAGUGUUUCUCUAAGGUGAAGGAACUUACCUGUACUUUACUGAAGCCUGAAACUAAUCACAUUCGAGUGGUUUUCAAAUUCAAUUCGGCCACUCAAUAUUUCUCCAACUUAUAGCUCCAAGUUGAGACCCAUUUGGACACUGAGAACAACGUUCCAGUUAGAGAAAUUAAGUAAGAUAUAAAAUACAAAAAAGAAAGGCAAGAAGCUUCCCUUUUCACAAUGUUGUUCGAUCCCAAGACUUAAGUUCAUGAGACUUAUAGUUUUGUCAGUGAAUUUUACCAAGACUACAGUAAUGCCUUGUAUUUCUACUUUAAAGAUGAUGAGGAAUAGGAUGAUGUUGCUGAAGGAUAAUAGGAAGAAGGUGAGGGUGAAGAGGAAUAAGAUGAAGAAAGUGAAGAAGUUCAAGCUGUUCAAAAACCAAAGAAAAAGAAGAAAGAAGAGAAGCAGGCUAGUAAGGAAAAGAAAGAAAUCGAAAAGCCUGAAUGUAAACAACAAUGAUCUUGAAUAUAUAUAUCUU